CAUGCUUAACACAUGCAAGUCGAACGGUAACAGGCCCUUCGGGGUGCUGACGAGUGGCGGACGGGUGAGUAACGCGUAGGAAUCUGCCCAAUAGUGGGGGACAACCCGGAGAAAUCCGGGCUAAUACCGCAUACGCCCUACGGGGGAAAGGAGGGGAUCUCUUCGGAGACCUUUCGCUAUUGGAUGAGCCUGCGUCGGAUUAGCUUGUUGGUAGGGUAAUGGCCUACCAAGGCGACGAUCCGUAGCUGGUCUGAGAGGACGAUCAGCCACACUGGGACUGAGACACGGCCCAGACUCCUACGGGAGGCAGCAGUGGGGAAUAUUGCACAAUGGGGGAAACCCUGAUGCAGCAAUGCCGCGUGUGUGAAGAUGGCCUGCGGGUUGUAAAGCACUUUCAAUUGGAAAGAAAAGGGGUUGGCUAAUACCUGACCUUCUUGACGUUACCUUUAGAAGAAGCACCGGCUAACUCCGUGCCAGCAGCCGCGGUAAUACGGAGGGUGCGAGCGUUAAUCGGAAUUACUGGGCGUAAAGCGUACGUAGGCGGUUAGGUCAGUCAGAUGUGAAAGCCCUGGGCUUAACCUGGGAACUGCAUUUGAUACUGCCUGACUAGAGUGUGGUAGAGGGAAGUGGAAUUCCGGGUGUAGCGGUGAAAUGCGUAGAUAUCCGGAGGAACACCAGUGGCGAAGGCGGCUUCCUGGACCAACACUGACGCUGAGGUACGAAAGCGUGGGUAGCAAACAGGAUUAGAUACCCUGGUAGUCCACGCUGUAAACGAUGUCAACUAGCCGUUGGGGACUUUAUGUCUUUAGUGGCGCAGCUAACGCGAUAAGUUGACCGCCUGGGGAGUACGGCCGCAAGGUUAAAACUCAAAGGAAUUGACGGGGGCCCGCACAAGCGGUGGAGCAUGUGGUUUAAUUCGAUGCAACGCGAAGAACCUUACCAGCUCUUGACAUCCAGCGAACUUUCCAGAGAUGGAUUGGUGCCUUC
rnacentral:rRNA from 1 species